GCGACCCCAGGUUAGGUGAGAGAUUAUGCAUAUCAAUAAGUGGAGGAAAGAAAACUUACAUGGAUUCUCCUAGUAACGAUGAGGGAACUGCAAACAACCCAGCUUGAAAACGGGUGACCC
rnacentral:rRNA from 1 species